GUUAAAUUAACUAAUGCUUUUCAUUGAACUAUUAGUGUCAAUGGUUGGUACCUGCAGAGCACUCUGCUGAGUUUUUAUUCAAUUUCAAUUUCUAAGUGGACUUUUUUUCACAAAGCAUACUAGAACAUUUUGAUAAGGCAGCUUUUCGGAAGAUUCAUAUCACAGCUGACAAACUGCUAAUUGUGGUGUUAUAGACUGUCUACUUUAUGUUUAAAUAAGCCUCAUAUAGUGAUGUAGACCACUGUCUAUUUUGUAUUUGAUAGGCCUUGUAGUGUUGUAGACUGUUGUGUCUAUUUUAUGUUUAUUUUAUUCCUGUGUAAGAAAGACAUGGUACUGAGACGGUGCACUUGCCUGUCGCUGUCUAUCAAUGGUGGUGUUGAACUGUUUGUCAUUCGAUGCACAUAGAGCGCAGCUGGCAAACAACACGCUGUUGAAUUUUGACAAUAUUUAAAACAAGAUGUUAAGUGACAAUAUCUGCAUGAAGGUGUUAUUGUCAUGGUGAUGUUUGUUUUGGUGCUUGGUUUUGUGUUUGGGGAUGUUCUGUGUUUUCUUUUUCCCCCUCCCUCUUUCUGUUUCUCUCCCUGGCAGUGUGUGUGCAGCUGAGGGUGUGGCUGGCUGAGUGGGGCCUUCACUAUGAGGCACACCUGGUGCUCAUCGCUAAUCACUCCUGCCAUAAAAGCCUGGUCAAGACACCACUCCUGUGCCAGAUUAUCCCGUUGCAGUCGUUUUCAGGUGUGCCUCACCUACAGUCUCCAGUGCUACUGUUUUUCUGGUGCUCAGCCUCAGCAGAUCUCCUGGUCAAUUUGCCACCUCACCUGCAAUGCAGCCAGCCCUCAGCCACCACCUCCACCCUUUGGCUUUUUUUCAUUGAGACAUUAUUCUUUCAAUAAACACCCAAAGAACUGUCCUUGCCUCUGUCUCUGCAUUUUGGAAUCCAAACACCAAAACUUAAAACACAAUAGAUGAAGAGGAACUUCAAGAUAUCUAGAAGCAUUCUCCCAAGAGAGAUCUGCAGUGGCCCCAGGUGAGAGUUGGCUGUGAAC